rnacentral:rRNA from 1 species
CCUACGGGAGGCAGCAGUGGGGAAUAUUGGGCAAUGGAGGAAACUCUGACCCAGCAACGCCGCGUGAAUGAUGAAGGUCUUCGGAUUGUAAAGUUCUUUUCUAAGGGAAGAAGAAAGUGACGGUACCUUAGGAAUAAGCCUCGGCUAACUACGUGCCAGCAGCCGCGGUAAUACGUAGGAGGCGAGCGUUAUCCGGAAUGACUGGGCGUAAAGGGUGCGUAGGUGGGGUAAUAAGUCAGAUGUGAAAUCCUGUAGCUUAACUACAGAACUGCAUUUGAAACUGUUACUCUGGAGUGUGGGAGAGGUAGGUGGAAUUCUUGGUGUAGGGGUAAAAUCCGUAGAGAUCAAGAGGAAUACUCAUUGCGAAGGCGACCUGCUGGAACAUUACUGACGCUGAUGCACGAAAGCGUGGGGAGCAAACAGGAUUAGAUACCCGAGUAGUC